rnacentral:rRNA from 1 species
AUUGAACGCUGGCGGCAGGCCUAACACAUGCAAGUCGAGCGGAUGAAGGGAGCUUGCUCCUGGAUUCAGCGGCGGACGGGUGAGUAAUGCCUAGGAAUCUGCCUGGUAGUGGGGGAUAACGUCCGGAAACGGGCGCUAAUACCGCAUACGUCCUGAGGGAGAAAGUGGGGGAUCUUCGGACCUCACGCUAUCAGAUGAGCCUAGGUCGGAUUAGCUAGUUGGUGGGGUAAAGGCCUACCAAGGCGACGAUCCGUAACUGGUCUGAGAGGAUGAUCAGUCAGCCGGGAAAGGAAGACGCGCCCCAGACCCUUCCGGGGGGAGGCGGGGGGGAUUUUUGGAGAAGGGGGGAAGGCUGACCCAAGCAUGGCCGGGGGGGGAAGGAAGGUCUUCGUAUGGUAAAAAAUUUUAGUUGGGAGGGAAGGAAAUUAGUUAAUUCCCUUGUUGUUUUGACGUUCCCAAAAAAAAAAGCCCCGGCUAACUUCGUG